GGCUUAACACAUGCAAGUCGAGCGGUAACAGGGGUAGCUUGCUACCCGCUGACGAGCGGCGGACGGGUGAGUAAUGCUUAGGAAUCUGCCCAGUAGUGGGGGAUAGCCCGGGGAAACCCGGAUUAAUACCGCAUACGUCCUACGGGAGAAAGCAGGGGAUCUUCGAACCUUGCGCUAUUGGAUGAGCCUAAGUCGGAUUAGCUAGUUGGUGGGGUAAAGGCCUACCAAGGCGACGAUCCGUAGCUGGUCUGAGAGGAUGAUCAGCCACAUCGGGACUGAGACACGGCCCGAACUCCUACGGGAGGCAGCAGUGGGGAAUAUUGGACAAUGGGGGCAACCCUGAUCCAGCCAUGCCGCGUGUGUGAAGAAGGCUUUCGGGUUGUAAAGCACUUUCAGUAGGGAGGAAAACCUUAUGGCUAAUACCCAUGAGGCUUGACGUUACCUACAGAAGAAGCACCGGCUAACUCCGUGCCAGCAGCCGCGGUAAUACGGAGGGUGCAAGCGUUAAUCGGAAUUACUGGGCGUAAAGCGCGCGUAGGUGGUUUGGUAAGCGAGAUGUGAAAGCCCCGGGCUUAACCUGGGGAACGGCAUUUCGAACUGUCAGACUAGAGUGUGGUAGAAGGGUAGUGGAAUUUCCUGUGUAGCGGUGAAAUGCGUU
rnacentral:rRNA from 1 species